UCUCUCUCCCCCUUAGCCUCGUUUUUCCUUCUCUCUCUCUCUCUCUCUCGUCCUCCCACUGCCAGCGCCGGAAAACACUAUCUCCGGCCACCACCAUACAACACCGCCUCCACCAAUCAAUGCAGCACCUGAAUCCGACCCAAACCCAAGAGAAAUCGAAGCCAUGCAUCAACCCCGACCUCUCGCUCCCUCUCUCUUCUUCUUCCUUCUGCAACCACCGGAGAACACCAUCUCCGACCACCAUCUCACCACACCGCCACCACCAAUUGAUCCAGCACCCAAAUCUGACCCAAGCCCGAGCCUCACCACCGACAUGCACCGCUGGCAGCCUCCACACUCGACAACCCACGACUGCAACGCCACUGUUCCUCGAACCUCGCCGAUUUUCAGCCAUCAUUUCAUCGCACAGCCGCCACCAACGAGCUCGGGGUAAGCUGUUUAUCAUCACCCCAAAGCCUCGUCGCUAACCCGAAGCUGGAGAACGUCGUGCGCGCCUUCGCCGGCGAUCUGGGGUUCUGCAAAGCUAAGGAUACCACCUCCGGCCACGAUUGAACGAAGCCAUCACCUUGAAGAAGCUUAGGGCUGCACGAAUCGCCUUAACCCCUUAAUCCUGACCUCCGACUCCGAUCAGAACCACCGCACGCGCCUCACGCGCCGUCGCUGGCGCUUGAGCUGACCUAGCACCGCCGUGCAUCACCGCUGGACUUCCAGACCUCCUUCAUUAGAAAUGAGGUUCUUGGAUUUAUGCGAUGUGGAGUUUCGGAGAAGAUGAGCUACUGGGGUAGCUUUGGUUGAAAUCAGAUAUGGGAUUCGAAAGGUUGGUAAGGGUGGACCACGACUAUGUUGGAUCGAGUCACAGUUUGGAAAAGAAGAAUGGACUCGAGCAUGUGCACUUGGAUUCGGACAAAUGAUCGAAAGUCGGGAUCGAACCCGAAUGUGGACGAGCACUCCAUAUCCAGUGUGCAGGUCUUGAGCAUGUGCUCGGGGAGCGUACAGAGGAGGCACAUGGCCCGGCUUGGUGCAUUCUUCUUUAAUUUUAUCAAAAGAAGGUUUUGGUCCUUUAUCGGAUUUUGAAGUCACUUAUUUAUUUACUUUUUAAUUGUUUCCUACUCGCUUAUUUACAAAAUUUCUGGAGACCCGCAACCUAGGGGCGCGUCUCUCAUACUUGUAUUUACUUAGUGAUUUGUUAUUUUCCAAAUUGGGCUCCUAUUGUAAGCCCAAAUCCUUUAGCCCACAUUAAAUUCCGUUUUGAAGA